rnacentral:rRNA from 1 species
UUAAGCAUAUCAAUAAGCGGAGGAAAAGAAACCAACAGGGAUUACCUCAGUAACGGCGAGUGAAGCGGUAACAGCUCAAAUUUGAAAUCUGGCUCUUUCAGGGUCCGAAUUGUAAUUUGUAGAAGAUGCUUCGAGUGUAGCUCCGGUCUAAGUUCCUUGGAACAGGACGUCAUAGAGGGUGAGAAUCCCGUAUGUGACUGGUGGCUUUCGCUCAUGUGAAGCUCUUUCGACGAGUCGAGUUGUUUGGGAAUGCAGCUCAAAAUGGGUGGUAUAUUUCAUCUAAAGCUAAAUAUUGGCCAGAGACCGAUAGCGCACAAGUAGAGUGAUCGAAAGAUGAAAAGCACUUUGGAAAGAGAGUUAAACAGUACGUGAAAUUGUUGAAAGGGAAGCGCUUGCAACCAGACUUGCAUGCUGUUAAUCAUCAGGAGUUCUCUCCUGUGCACUUGGCAGUGUUCAGGCCAGCAUCGAUUUUGGUGGUUGGAUAAAGACCUUAGGAAUGUGGCAUCUUUCGGGGUGUGUUAUAGCCUUCGGUGCAAUGCAGCCAACUGGGAUCGAGGACCGCGCUUCGGCUAGGAUGCUGGCGUAAUGGUUGUAAGCGACCCGUCUUGAACACGGACCAAGGAGUCUAACAUCUAUGCGAGUGUUUGGGUGUCAAACCCAUGCGCGUAAUGAAAGUGAACGGAGGUGGGAACCCUUCAGGGUGCACCAUCGACCGAUCCUGAUGUCUUCGGAUGGAUUUGAGUAGGAGCAUAGCUGUUGGGACCCGAAAGAUGGUGAACUAUGCCUGAAUAGGGUGAAGCCAGAGGAAACUCUGGUGGAGGCUCGCAGCGGUUCUGACGUGCAAAUCGAUCGUCAAAUUUGGGUAUAGGGGCGAAAGACUAAUCGA